rnacentral:rRNA from 1 species
UACAGAGGGUGCUAGCGUUGUUCGGAAUUAUUGGGCGUAAAGCGCUUGUAGGCGGCUUGUUAAGUUCCGUGUGAAAUCCCCAGGCUUAACCUGGGAAGUGCGCGGAAAACUGGCGAGCUUGAGUGCCGGAGAGGGUCGCGGAAUUCCCGGUGUAGAGGUGAAAUUCGUAGAUAUCGGGAGGAACACCAGUGGCGAAGGCGGCGACCUGGACGGACACUGACGCGUGAGACGCGGCAAAGCGUGGGGAACAACAGGGAUUAAGAUGA